AACGCACAUUGCGCCCUCUGGUAUUCCGGGGGGCACGCCCGUUCGAGCGUCAUUACAACAAUCAAGCCUGGCUUGGUGUUGGGGCACGGGGGUGACCCGGCCCUCAACGUCUUCGGCAGGGACGUCCUGAUCGCAGCGUCGUGGCACACAUUUUCGCUGGUGAGAUGGACGGUCCGCGCCGUUAAACCCCCAUCAAAGGUUGACCUCGGAUCGGGUGAGGAUACCCGCUGAACUUAA
rnacentral:misc_RNA from 1 species